UCCUCUCUCUGAAAUCAAUAAAGAUAUAUUAAAAAAAAGAAGAGCCAUCCUGAUCGUGUCAUUUCCACACAUAAAGACCUUCAGCUACUCUCAUUGCUUUCAGAGCUGGGCGCUAACUCCUUUGCCAGCACUUAAGGUUCUUUGUAGUAGGGUUUCAAACCUCCUUUUCCAUGUUCCUCUCUUACCCUCCUCUUCAUGUCCCUGAGGUUUCAACUAAACUGCAGAACCUUCUGGUCUCAUAAUGGGCCCAGUGUCUUUUCCUGCAUUUUAAAAUUUGAACUUUGUUCAUGGUCCCCAGAGAUUAGAGUUGGCUUACUCUACUAUAGCCAUGUAAUUUUCUGGCCCUUUCACCACAGCCACUGCCCAUGGCCCUGCUUAUUGUGUUGCCUACGUUUCUUCUGUCCCUCCUCUUCCUCCCAUCCUUACUGUAAACGGAACCUCAGAUGCAAAGGUGGAUAAAAAUCAUUAUCAAGCAGACAUGAGUGGAACCCCAGUUGUUUGCUUAUUGACCUCUCAGACAAGUUACUUAAACUCUAUUUCUUCCACAGUAAAAAUAGGCAGUAACGCCUUACAUAGUCAUUAAGAAUUAACAGAUUAAGUGAAUGAAGUCCUAAGGACAGUGUCACUCAUAUUAUCUCAUGCUGGGCUGAUCUCACUUGGCUGCUCUGCAGCUUUAAGGACUCAGAAGACAUCUUAUCCCUCUUUCCAUCACGUUCUGGGAACCUGAGUGGGUGAGGUGGAGGCCUGGUGGGCCUCUCUGGUGGAUGUGGGCCUCACCUUGAACCAGUCCAGAUCAUAGCUGAAAUGUAGCUCUGGGAGCUAAAUGUAGCCUCUAGUCUGCUUAUUGCAGUAUAAGGUAGGGCAAGGAGAUGGGGACUUGCUACUACUGUGUCACUAAGUUAGUAAAUUACUUUUAGCAGGUAAGUUACUUCUAGUUCCUGUCCAAGCCUGUUUCCUCAUUGGAAAAGGCACGAGUUAGACCCAAUUAUCUCUAAGGGGCUGUGGUCACCUGUCACGGACUACAUCAAAACUAAGUUCUGAAGCCUUCCUAGAGAUUCAGGUUUCUUGCUCCUCUGGGCCUGGGUUUUCUUGUCUGUAACAGAGUUUCCUACUCCAUCCCUUCUGUGGAGGCGUUGAGAACAAAGUUAAAGUGAACAAGUGCAGUAGAAAAUUUAUUUAUUCAAAAAGGAAGGGUGGCCCCUUGCAGGUACCUCUUGGACCCUGGCCAAAGAGGUGUUACCACCUGCUCAUCUCCUCACGCUAGCAUCUAAAAGGCAAAAGUCUGUCCACACCUUACCUUUAAGAGCCUUAAAGGGGAAGUGCAAUGGUGUAAAGAUAAACCACAGAAUCGGUUCUCAAAAACAGCACUUCCAGGCCCUUGCCUUUAAGAACUUUUUAAAUGCAAAGUGGAAAAUUGCAGCGGAUAAAGAGCCAGAACAUUUUAGGAAAAGUCUCUGUGUCUUUACCUUUAAGAAUGUCUUAGAGGUGAGGCAUAUUCGUGCAGAAUACAAAGGUGGGAAAACCCUGUAAGAGAGUCUACAAAGCACUUUUCCAGUUCUCGGUUUUAGGAUCUCUUUACAGGAGAGGUGGUCAAGCGCGAAGUAAUAAAAAGCAAAAUACUGUACCUUGCACAACAA